rnacentral:lncRNA from 1 species
GCCCAGUUCUGCCAGAGACACGGAUCACAGACUCAACUGUCCCACUUCUGCAUGGGGAGCUGGGUUCCUCGUUAUGGCAUUAAGGUCUGUCAUAAGGUCAAGCAGAAAGAAGACACAUUCUAAACCUCAGCUGCUUGUCUGCACAAAUCCACAACCUUUCUCUGGAUCUCCAGGCUCACCAGUACACACAAUUGGCGUUUUUAAGGUGAACUUGGAGCUAGCCCAGGCAUGCAUGUCCUGAAGUAGAGGAUCACACAAGCGCACCUUGGGGAAUUGUCAUAAACUGUCAAAACCUCAGUGUUAGUACCAACAGAGGGAUCCCAGACCCCUGAGCUGGGAGAGCUGAAACUCUGAGGGACAGUGGCCAUCCCCCAGCAAGGACAACAGAGCACAAGCAGCCAGGAUAAGAGGCCAGGGUAUCUGCUCUGCUCCAAAAUCAGCAUCCGAGACCCAACAAAAAAUCAUGGCAG